CCUGACCUCGAUUCGAGCGUGAAUA
rnacentral:rRNA from 1 species